GGCGCCACAAGGAUUACCUUGAUAAGUCUGAGAUUGGUUCAGCGAGGAACCCAGAGAGAAGUUCUCACAAAUUUUAUCAAAUGCCAAAAGUUCUUAUAUUGAAAACGAAAUCCAUACAUAUAGUAUAUCUAAACAAAAAAAUAGAAAUAGACAUGGGCCUUCAAAACAGUUUGGGCCAAAAUUACAACAAAAAAAUUAUAAAUAAAAAACAUAUUUGACAUAGGCCUUCAAAUUGGUCUAGGCCUUCAGCAACAAUUAAUAUUCUUAGUAGUGCCUUUGCCUCUGCCUCUGGGCCUUCAUCCUUCUCCACUUGGGCCUUGCUAAGUAUGUCUGAUAUCAUUUGUUGGAGGGUAUCCACUGACUGUUUGGUCCUACUCCUGGUCAUAAGUCCUUGUAUUUGGGUAGUUAAAACUGCCCAAAUAUAGGGACCUAUUGUCGCAACCUACCUUUCGGCGGGAGGGCGACGCGGGACUUGCGGGUGCAUCUUCCAAAGAAGGAAAAC
rnacentral:lncRNA from 1 species